GGAUCGGGUAUUGAGUCCAUGGAGCGAGCUGAGAGCUAGAGUACAGAACCUGCUAAGGCCAUCAAACCUAUCGAUCGGAAGUCAGUCCAUCAGAUUUGCUCUGGGCCGGUGGUACUGAGUCUAAGCACUGCGGUGAAGGAGUUAGUAGAAAACAGUCUGGAUGCUGGUGCCACCAAUAUUGAUCUAAAGCUUAAGGACUAUGGAGUGGAUCUCAUUGAAGUUUCAGACAAUGGAUGUGGGGUAGAAGAAGAAAACUUUGAAGGCUUAACGAUGUCACCAUUUCUACCUGCCACGCAUCGGCGAAGGUUGGGACUCGACUGGUGUUUGAUCACGAUGGGAAAAUCAUCCAGAAAACCCCCUACCCCCACCCCAGAGGGACCACAGUCAGCGUGAAGCAGUUAUUUUCUACACUACCUGUGCACCAUAAGGAAUUUCAAAGGAAUAUUAAGAAGACGUGCCUGUUUCCCCUUCGCCUUCUGCCGUGAUUGUCAGUUUCCUGAGGCCUCCCCAGCCAUGCUUCCUGUACAGCCUGCAGAACUGGACCAUUGCAAGCUGCAGAAAAUGAGAAGACCCUACUGACCAGCCCAAGAAGACAGAUGACAAGAUACUGAGACACUAGUAUAAGAAUACAGAGGCCAUGACUGGAAAAUGACAAGAUCUGCAUACUCCGAGAUCAACAA
ensembl:lncRNA PMS2P4 PMS1 homolog 2, mismatch repair system component pseudogene 4